GCUUACGGCCACACUGCCUGGUUCACGCCUGAUCUCGGAAGCUAAGAUAGGUUGGGCCUGGUUAGUACUUGGAUGGGAGACCGCCUAGGAAUACCAGGUGCUGUAAGCC
rnacentral:rRNA from 1 species